rnacentral:rRNA from 1 species
CCUGAAGUCAGUGGACGCACGAGUGAGUAACGCGUGGGAAACCUGCCCUUCACUGGGGAAUAACGUUUGGAAACGAACGCUAAUACCGCAUACGCCCGCAAGGGGAAAGAUUUAUCGGUGAUGGAUGUGCCCGCGUUGGAUUAGCUAGUUGGUGGGGUAAUGGCCUACCAAGGCGAUGAUCCAUAGCUGGUCUGAGAGGACGAUCAGCCACGCUGGAACUGAGACACGGUCCAGACUCCUACGGGAGGCAGCAGCUAAGAAUAUUGGGCAAUGGAGGAAACUCUGACCCAGCCAUGCCGCGUGAAUGAAGAAGGCCUUCGGGUUGUAAAGUUCUUUUAGUCAUGAAGAUGAUGACAGUAGUGACAGAAAAAGACACCGGCUAACUUCGUGCCAGCAGCAGC